rnacentral:lncRNA from 1 species
GGAGUAAGGGGAGGAACUGGAAGAACUGGGAAAGAGAUGAGGACAGCAGGAGCAAAGGCUCACCAAGGAAAUAAAAGACCGGUUUUGAUCACUAAAAACAGAAGAUAAAAUGCUCAUGUUCGAGAAUGCACUCAACCCACUGUAAGAGAUUGUGCCUAAAAGUUUGCUGGAGGGAUGGCAGAAAUGGAUUAGCUAAGUGGCUCUGGCUCAGGGACUCUCAGGAAACUUCAGUCAAGAUGUCAGCUGAGUCUACAGUCAUCUGAAGGCUUGACUGGGGCUGGAGAAUCUGCUUCCAAGAUGGUGCACUCACAUGGCUGGAAUGUCGGUGCCUCAGUUCCUCUCCAGUGGGACUCUCCAGAGGGCUGCUUGAGUGUCCUCACAACACGGCAGCUGGCUUCUCCCAGAACAAGUGAUCCAAGAGGGCAAGGCAGAAGCAGCAAUGUUUCUUAUGACCUAGCACAGGAAGUCACAUAUCAUCAGUUAUGCCUUAUUUUAUUAGUCACAUCAUUCAACCCUGAUACGCUGUGGCAAAGGACUGCACAAGGGUGUGAAUACCAGGAGGAGCACUGGGAGCCAUCUUGGAGACUGGUUGCCACAAAUUAUUAACAUAAAUUGCAGAUGAAUUAUUUAACAAGAGGGAAUUGGAUUAAAUACCUCUCUAUUCUGGCAAUCAACAUCUGACUACUACCAUUAUUUAAAAAAUUCCAAAUGAGUAAAGCCAAAUUAAAAAUUUGAGCUCUUUCAGGGGGAAAGAUUUAUGAUCAACGUCAAGACAGAUCAUUAGCACAGGACUAUGGAAGGCCAUGUAUAAUGUGCUUGGUUCUACUCAUUGCCAUUGUAAGCAUAGAGCCCUUGGGUCUUGGUACCUUUUCCAGAUUCUCUGAAAUACCUAACAGGCCUUCAAUAGCUGUUCUAUGCCAGCUAUUGUGUUAUCUUCAUGAGGCUACUCAGCUCACUUGGCUUGAG